UACGGGGGGGGCAAGCGUUGUUCGGAAUUACUGGGCGUAAAGGGUUCGUAGGUGGCUGGCUAAGUCAGACGUGAAAUCCCUCAGCUCAACUGGGGAACUGCGUCUGAGACUGGCGAGCUUGAGUGCAGGAGAGGAACGCGGAAUUCCAGGUGUAGCGGUGAAAUGCGUAGAUAUCUGGAGGAACACCGGUGGCGAAGGCGGCGUUCUGGACUGCAACUGACACUGAGGAACGAAAGCCAGGGGAGCAAACGGG
rnacentral:rRNA from 1 species